GACGAACGCUGGCGGCGUGCUUAACACAUGCAAGUCGAACGGGCCCGCUCUCUUUUUUGGGGGUGGGUUGAGUGGCGAACGGGUGAGUAUCACGUGAGUAACCUGCCCCCUGCUCCUGGAUAACUGCUUGAAAGGGCGGCUAAUACGGGGUGUGCCGGCUGGUCCGCAUGGGCCUGGUCGGGAUAGUUUCAUCUUCGGGUGUUUCGGUGGGGGAUGGGCUCGCGGCCUAUCAGCUUGUUGGUGGGGUGAUGGCCCACCAAGGCGGUGACGGGUAGCUGGCCUGAGAGGGUGGGCGGCCACACUGGGACUGAGACACGGCCCAGACUCCUGCGGGAGGCAGCAGUGGGGGGUAUGGCGCAAUGGGCGGAAGCCUGAUGCAGCGACGUCGCGUGAGGGAUGGAGGCCUUCGGGUUGUGAACCUCUUUCUCCGGUGGUGAAGGCCCUGUCCGUUGCGGCGGGGUUGACGGUAGCCGGGUAUGAAGCGCCGGCUAACUACGUG
rnacentral:rRNA from 1 species